UGGGGAAUUUUGGACAAUGGGCGAAAGCCUGAUCCAGCAAUGCCGCGUGUGUGAAGAAGGCCUUCGGGUUGUAAAGCACUUUUGUCCGGAAAGAAAUCCUUGGCUCUAAUACAGUCGGGGGAUGACGGUACCGGAAGAAUAAGCACCGGCUAACUACGUGCCAGCAGCCGCGGUAAUACGUAGGGUGCAAGCGUUAAUCGGAAUUACUGGGCGUAAAGCGUGCGCAGGCGGUUUGCUAAGACCGAUGUGAAGUCCCCGGGCUCAACCUGGGAACUGCAUUGGUGACUGGCAGGCUAGAGUAUGGCAGAGGGGGGUAGAAUUCCACGUGUAGCAGUGAAAUGCGUAGAGAUGUGGAGGAAUACCGAUGGCGAAGGCAGCCCCCUGGGCCAAUACUGACGCUCAUGCACGAAAGCGUGGGGAGCAAACAGGAUUAGAUACCCUGGUAGUCCACGCCCUAAACGAUGUCAACUAGUUGUUGGGGAUUCAUUUCCUUAGUAACGUAGCUAACGCGUGAAGUUGACCGCCUGGGGAGUACGGUCGCAAGAUUAAAACUCAAAGGAAUUGAC
rnacentral:rRNA from 1 species